GCUGGAUGUUCUUUCCGUUGGACAGAACGACGCCAGAGGGUCCAGCGGCGGCGACAGUCACGCCAGGUUCGAACUGGAUCAGCUGGCCGUCGCUGGUGACGAUUCCUGAGGCUCCCACCAGAUGGCCAUAGGUGUCACGCUUACGUCUGCCGGACAGCUGGAUGUUCUUUCCAUUGGACAGAACGACUCCAGAGGGUCCAGCGGAGGCAACA